rnacentral:rRNA from 1 species
GUGAGGAAUAUUGGUCAAUGGGCGCAAGCCUGAACCAGCCAUGCCGCGUGCAGGAAGACGGUCCUAUGGAUUGUAAACUGCUUUUAUUUGGGAAUAAACUCCGGUACGUGUACCGGCCUGACGGUACCAAAUGAAUAAGCACCGGCUAACUCCGUGCCAGCAGCCGCGGUAAUACGGAGGGUGCAAGCGUUAUCCGGAAUCAUUGGGUUUAAAGGGUCCGCAGGCGGUCUUAUAAGUCAGUGGUGAAAGCCUACAGCUCAACUGUAGAACUGCCAUUGAUACUGUAGGACUUGAAUUCGAUCGAAGUGGGCGGAAUGUGACAUGUAGCGGUGAAAUGCUUAGAUAUGUCACAGAACACCGAUAGCGAAGGCAGCUCACUAGGUCUGGAUUGACGCUCAGGGACGAAAGCGUGGGGAGCAAACAGGAUUAGAAGCCCCAGUAGUCC